rnacentral:rRNA from 1 species
UACGGAGGGUGCAAGCGUUAUCCGGAUUCACUGGGGUUAAAGGGUGCGUAGGCGGGUUGGUAAGUCCGUGGUGAAAUCCCCAAGCUUAAUUUGGGAACUGCCGUGGAUACUAUCAAUCUUGAAUAUCGUGGAGGUAAGCGGAAUAUGUCAUGUAGCGGUGAAAUGCUUAGAUAUGACAUAGAACACCAAUUGCGUAGGCAGCUUACUACACGAUCAUUGACGCUGAGGCACGAAAGCGUGGGGAGCAAACAGG